rnacentral:rRNA from 1 species
GACGAACGCUGGCGGCGUGCUUAACACAUGCAAGUCGAACGGAAAGGCCCUGCUUUUGUGGGGUGCUCGAGUGGCGAACGGGUGAGUAACACGUGAGUAACCUGCCCUUGACUUUGGGAUAACUUCAGGAAACUGGGGCUAAUACCGGAUAGGAGCUCCUGCUGCAUGGUGGGGGUUGGAAAGUUUCGGCGGUUGGGGAUGGACUCGCGGCUUAUCAGCUUGUUGAUGGGGUAGUGGCUUACCACGGCUUUGACGGGUAGCCGGCCUGAGAGGGUGACCGGCCACAUUGGGCCUGAGAUACGGCCCAGUCUCCUACGGUAGGCAGUAGUGGGGAAUAUUGCACAAUGGGCGGACGCCUGAUGCAGCAACGCCGCGUGCGUGAUGACGGCCUUCUGGUUGUGAACCGCUUUCGCCUGUGACGAAGCGUGAGUGACGGUAAUGGGUAAAGAAGCACCGGCUAACUACGUG